rnacentral:rRNA from 1 species
CCUACGGGAGGCUGCAGUGGGGAAUAUUGGGCAAUGGGCGCAAGCCUGACCCAGCAACGCCGCGUGAAGGAAGAAGGCUUUCGGGUUUUAAACUUCUUUUCUCAUGGACGAAGCAAGUGACGGUACCUGAGGAAUAAGCCACGGCUAACUACGUGGCACCAGCCGCGGUAAUACGUAGGUGGCAAGCGUUAUCCGGAUUUACUGGGUGUAAAGGGCGUGUAGGCGGGGACGGAAGUCAGAUGUGAAAACCACGGGCUCAACCUGUGGACUGCAUUUGAAACUGUGUUUCUUGAGUACUGGAGAGGCAGACGGAAUUCGUGGUGUAGCGGUGAAAUGCGUAGAUAUUAGGAGGAACACCAGUGGCGAAGGCGGUCUGCUGGACAGCAACUGACGCUGAGGCGCGAAAGCGUGGGGAGCAAACAGGAUUAGAUACCCGUGUAGUC